UACGUAUGCCUUUUUUCUGCAUCAUAACCUGUCGUGCUGCGGAUAACAUUACUUCGCUUGUAGUCUGCCCUCUCCCAGUCUUCCACAGCAUGGAGAGUGUGGCCCUCAGUUGUUGGUUUUCCUCCGCUAUGACAAGCUGGGAGCUCCUAGAACUACAAAGCCCUUCCUGCAGUUUGGCCUCCUACUGUAAGAGGAGCUGAAGCAUUUUUUCAUACGGCGUGGAGAGUGUGGCCCUCAGUUGUUGGUUUUCCUCCGCUAUGACAAGCUGGGAGCUCCUGGAACUACUAAGCCCUUCCUGCAGUUUGGCCUCCUGCUGUAAGAG